GGCGACGUAGCCAAGUGGUAAGGCAGAGGUCUGCAAAACCUCCAUUCACCGGUUCGAAUCCGGUCGUCGCCU
rnacentral:tRNA from 3 species